UUGUUGUGAUGAAAACUCAGUUUAUAUAUGGCAUUCAUAAAGUGCUUUGUGAUACAUGGACAUUCUUGUCGAACCUGAGAGAUUACCUGAGCAA